UGGGGAAUAUUGCACAAUGGGCGCAAGCCUGAUGCAGCCAUGCCGCGUGUGUGAAGAAGGCCUUCGGGUUGUAAAGCACUUUCAGCGAGGAGGAAGGGUAGUGUGUUAAUAGCACAUUGCAUUGACGUUACUCGCAGAAGAAGCACCGGCUAACUCCGUGCCAGCAGCCGCGGUAAUACGGAGGGUGCAAGCGUUAAUCGGAAUUACUGGGCGUAAAGCGCACUCAGGCGGUUUGUUAAGUCAGAUGUGAAAUCCCCGCGCUUAACGUGGGAACUGCAUUUGAAACUGGCAAGCUAGAGUCUUGUAGAGGGGGGUAGAAUUCCAGGUGUAGCGGUGAAAUGCGUAGAGAUCUGGAGGAAUACCGGUGGCGAAGGCGGCCCCCUGGACAAAGACUGACGCUCAGGUGCGAAAGCGUGGGGAGCAAACA
rnacentral:rRNA from 1 species